GAAGUUUCUGUGUCAGCAAUCAGUAUCCCCCCGCCCCCGGCAAACGGGGGAUUCGCGGCUUUCAGUAAAUCCGGGCAGUGAAAAAAAAUACCUCUUUAAAUGUCAGCUUUCAAAUUCGAAACGACACUUUCAAUCUGAGCGGUUGGAAAAUCACAGUUUGAAUCGAACUUCUGAGGAAACGAGGGCUAUUCAUGGAAAGCAGAAUAGAGAGCAGAAAGGGAACAGUGCUGAGGGGGAAGUGUGAGAAACCUGGAGGAGACAACAGAAACAAAAUGGUGAUAAAAAACCCGAAUCCAAGGAUUAAACUCCACAAUGAAAGCAAACAACUGUUAAUGCCAAGUGUUCUAUUGGCACAGAUCAAUG